rnacentral:rRNA from 1 species
CCUACGGGAGGCAGCAGUAGGGAAUCUUCCACAAUGGGCGAAAGCCUGAUGGAGCAACGCCGCGUGAGUGAUGAAGGCCUUCGGGUUGUAAAACUCUGUCAUUCGGGACGAACCGGAGUCUGAGGAAAUGCAGACUCUCUGACGGUACCGGAGGAGGAAGCCCCGGCUAACUACGUGCCAGCAGCCGCGGUAAUACGUAGGGGGCAAGCGUUGUCCGGAUUCACUGGGCGUAAAGCGCGCGCAGGCGGUGAUGUAAGUCUGAGGUGAAAACCCGAAGCUCAACUUCGGGACUGCCUUGUAUACUGCGUCACUUGAGGAUAGGAGAGGCAAGGGGAAUUCCACGUGUAGCGGUGAAAUGCGUAGAGAUGUGGAGGAACACCUGUGGCGAAGGCGCCUUGCUGGCCUAUUUCUGACGCUGAGGCGCGAAAGCGUGGGGAGCAAACAGGAUUAGAUACCCUGGUAGUCCACGCUGUAAACGAUGAGUGCUAGGUGUAGGUGGGCUCAUACCCAUCUGUGCCGAAGCUAACGCAUUAAGCACUCCGCCUUGGGGAGUUCGGUUGCAAGCUUGAAACUUCAAAUUGAAUUGAGG